GAUGAUGUGUCCGGUCUAGAGUAUUAAUAUAAUCGAGCAGGAGCACACUUCGUGGUUCGCCAAGCAAUAACACACAUUUCAAUUUACAUAGCUUGUUUGUGCUGUGAGAAUUCAAUCGCAAGUAAUUGUUUCGCGCCUUUCAACGUCCAAGCGUACUUCAAAAAACACCUGAAUUUUAUAAAGCAGACUUCUAAGAUAAGAUUACCUCAAUUACUGGUCUUUUAGAAGUGGAUUUUUGUCGACUUAACAACAAAUUUUAAUUUGUAACAAAUUUUAAUAUGGAUAUAAGAAUAUCAUUAAUAUUCGUGGGGUUAUUGGUCACAUCUGUACUUGCCGCCCCACCAGCAAUCGGCAUUCCUGGCGCAAUGCCUUGCAUGAGCAGACAUUGCGAUUUCGAUUCGGAUCCUGUGUGCGCCGUGGACGAUUCCGGUGUUGCACUGACAUUCUCAAACCGCUGCAUGGCGGAAUUAGCCAACUGCAUCUCGGGAAUUUAUUAUGCAGUGGUCAAACAAGGAGAAUGCUGACAUACAACCUGACGGGUCACGCCAUCACUUAAUCUGAACUUGAUAAAAAGUCAAAGGAUAAAAUGCUUAGUCAACAGUUUUGGUUUUUGCAUGUAUAUAGCACACAACUAAUUUAUUAUUUCGUUUUAUAUCACUCUUCAGUAUUCGCAGUAUAGAAUAUCAUAAGUUACCAAAUAAAUACUUGAAAAUUU